GACGAACGCUGGCGGCGUGCUUAACACAUGCAAGUCGAACGGAAAGGCUCCAGCUUGCUGGAGUACUCGAGUGGCGAACGGGUGAGUAACACGUGGGUGAUCUGCCCUGCACUUCGGGAUAAGCCUGGGAAACUGGGUCUAAUACCGGAUAGGACCGCACUUUGGUGUGUGUGGUGGAAAGGUUUUUCUGGUGUGGGAUGAGCUCGCGGCCUAUCAGUUUGUUGGUGGGGUAAUGGCCUACCAAGACGGCGACGGGUAGCCGGCCUGAGAGGGUGGACGGGCGCAUUGGGACUGAGGUACGGCCCAGACUCCUACGGGAGGCAGCAGUGGGGAAUAUUGCACAAUGGGGGACACCCUGAUGCAGCGACGCCGCGUGGGGGAUGAAGGCCUUCGGGUUGUAAACUCCUUUCGCUGGGGACGAAGCUUUUUGUGACGGUACCUGGAGAAGAAGCACCGGCUAACUACGUG
rnacentral:rRNA from 1 species